rnacentral:rRNA from 1 species
AUUGAACGCUGGCGGCAUGCCUUACACAUGCAAGUCGAACGGCAGCACGGGAGCAAUCCUGGUGGCGAGUGGCGAACGGGUGAGUAAAGUAUCGGAACGUGCCCAGUCGUGGGGGAUAACGUAGCGAAAGUUACGCUAAUACCGCAUACGAUCUAUGGAUGAAAGCGGGGGAUCGCAAGACCUCGCGCGAUUGGAGCGGCCGAUAUCAGAUUAGGUAGUUGGUGGGGUAAAGGCUCACCAAGCCGACGAUCUGUAGCUGGUCUGAGAGGACGACCAGCCACACUGGGACUGAGACACGGCCCAGACUCCUACGGGAGGCAGCAGUGGGGAAUUUUGGACAAUGGGCGAAAGCCUGAUCCAGCCACGCCGCGUGCAGGAUGAAGGCCUUCGGGUUGUAAACUGCUUUUGUACGGAACGAAGAGGUUUGGGCUAAUAAGCUGAGCUCAUGACGGUACCGUAAGAAUAAGCACCGGCUAACUACGUGCCAGCCGCCGCCGUAAUAC